CCAGGAACUGCAAAGUCAACAAAAUUCAAACUUCAAAAUUUUUGACAUACAUUAUUUUCUUAACUGCCGCAAAAUACAAAAAUACGUUUACUUAUGAACAGCGAAGAGGAGGAAUAAUUGAGAAAAUCGACAAAAUAUUGGACACGUGAAAAUUUCUACACACAAUGGCAUAUUCUUUUCUAAUUACACAUACAUUAAUAGUUUUAUUCGGAAAAGGUGCGACACACAUUGAACCGACCGUCGUGGAAACGGAUAAUCUUAGCUAAAACACAACAGCUGAUGCCACAGUUCUGGGGAUGUCCGUAACUUCUCCAACGAAUACAGUCCAUCUUCAGGAGAGUCCUCCUUCAUUAUAGACCCUGCAAUAAUAAAUGUCGGUUAAAACCUUUACUGUCAUUUAUUUAAUAAAUAUAUAUUUGUAAAACCUUUUAAAAGCGUGCGACUUCUGUUAGGAUUCGACAUGUUAUAUUAAACACAAACAGCGAAAUAACAAUGCGAAUUUUAG